CUCAAUCGGUGACGUCAUUGAAUCUUAUGCCGCCAUUUCUGCCAACGCAAGAACGACAGUGACAGAACAGAAGAAGACUAAGUCAGAAUAUCUCCAUUCAGGCGUUUGUGGCACCAGAAAUAACAUUUACAUUAACAAUGAGUGACAUCGACGAUAAAUACGACAAAAAGGUAAAACGUGAUGGUCGAGGCAAUUCCCGGUCACGCUCAGCCUCUCGUUCCCGUUCUCCAGUUUCGAGGUCUCCGACGCGUUCAAGAAGCAGGUCUCGCUCAAGAUCCUACUCUAGAUCGCCAUCCAGAUCACGAUCUCGCUCAGUGGAUCGUAAACGGCGAUACACGAGAUCAAGGUCGAGGUCCAGAACGCCAAGACAUAUUAGAAGUAGAAGGCGACGCUCUCGAAGAUUCUCUUUGUCUCCUCGGAGUAGAGAGUAUCGCAGUCAUAGCAGAUCACCGAUGUCAAACAGAAGAAGACAUAUUGGAAGUCGGGCCAAUCCUGAAACCAACAAUUGUCUUGGAGUAUUUGGUUUGAGCCUAUCAACUACUGAAAGGGAACUGAGAGAGGCUUUUGGAAGAUAUGGUCCAAUUGCGAACAUUAAUGUGGUCUAUGAUCACCAGAGUGGAAGAUCUCGUGGAUUUGCUUUUCUUUCAUAUGAAUCUGAGGAAGAUGCAAGAGAGGCCAAAGAUCGUACUAAUGGAAUGGAAAUAGAUGGUCGUCGAAUUCGUGUUGAUUAUUCCAUCACUAAAAGGGCACAUACCCCAACUCCUGGCAUCUAUAUGGGAAGACCAACAUAUCCAAAAAGAGGUGGCUAUGACAGAGACCCUCCUUAUGAGAGAGAACGAAGCUCUUACAGAGACAGAGACCGUUACAGACGAUCUCCUUCCCCAUAUUACAGACGAUCACCAUCACCCUACUACAGACGACGAUAUUCUCGAUCACGUUCCAGGUCUUACUCUAGAUCUCCACGACGAUAUUAAUCCGAUGUACCAUAGCUGCUCACCCGGGUAUCCACAAACUAUCCAGACUGUAAAUUUUUGCUACGUGUUGCUUAUAGUAGCGACUCUUAUACAAGUCAAUUUCAAUGACAUAAAAUGACUGAGAAGUUUUCAUUUAUUCAUCUAUUGAAGGCAAUGAAGACAAUGUCAGAAAAAAUGAAAAUCAAGAGAAGGCACGAGUAGGGCAAAAUGAAAAUACCUCGGUUGUCUAUUCAGUUGAAGUUUAGAAGGGUGAAUGAAGUUUGAAGAGAAGAAUGAAAACUGAAGAACGGCGACUAAAUUUAGAACCUCGCUUCGCACGAUAAUUGGCGAAAAUUUUCGGGUGUGCCACUGCUUUCAACCGAGAAAAAUGAAAGUGUGCAUUGUUUGGAGAAGUUCAAAUAGACUCCAAGGGGGAAAGAAGAUUGAAGAAUGAAAGCAAAAAAUAUGAAGUAAAUUUUUAUUUGCUUUUUUUUUUUCGAAUGAAAAAAAAAUUUGGCAACUUUUUCCAUGUGAUUCUAAAUGUGAAUUCCCACAUGAAGCUUCCCACAUGAUAGAUGGAUAAAUACCAGUCACCUAAAUUGUUUGAAAGGAACUCACCAAAUAUAUUGCCUUUUCAGUUUAGACUGAAGCUCGAAGAGUUUUUGAAGAGCAAGAAUGCAAAAUGAAGAAAGAAAAUGGGAAGAGAAAAAAAAAAUGAAGAAUCAAAAUUAACUAGAGGGUAAACGAUUGCGCUCUAAUGAGCUUUUCUUGCCAGAUUCUUGUCCCAAUUUUUAGUGGUUAGUUAUAUUUGGAGUGUAUGAAAGGAUGGUAAGUAUUGUUAGGUAAAAUGAGUAGGUUUUUGCUUGAUGAAAUUGUUUGCAGGUGGAGUUAGAAAACUGAUGGAUUGAAGUGGAAACUGCAAGACCUCUAGCUGCAGCAGUGUGGAUCAAAGAAAAGAUUGCAGAGAAUGCUGCUGUGCGAGGUGUUACAACAUGGUUUAACGGAAAACCUGUCAAGUCAUGCCGAUUACAUUUGUUGGUUUAUAUAAAUUUUAUUGUAAACUCUCAAAAUUUUGUACAAGUAAAGAUAUAGUAUAAAGAUACAAAU
rnacentral:misc_RNA from 1 species